GGCUUCCAUGAUGGGCCAGUUUGGCGCUGUGACUCUCAGAGCUGUCCUGGAAGGACGAUUCGAGGGCUCCUGUCACCAGACCUUCCAGCAAUUUUGUAACUCAUUUUCUGAAUCUCAUUCUGCUUUAAAGAGGCCGGUGUCGCCUCGGACAACAAAACACUGACCUGAAAACAAAGACACGGGAAACGCCCUGCCUUGUGGGAAGCCGUGAGGGGAGCAGAUAACUAAUGAUGACACAGAGGUACCUGGGAAAGAACUCCUAUCAGCAACCUUAUUUGCCCUAAUGGGAUGUGGUGUCAGGGAGAUGCUGAAUGGCCCGUAAUUCUCCAGGCUGUGGAACAGGAAUGGCGGUCUCUCCCCCACGCCUUGAUGUACAGUUCC